rnacentral:rRNA from 1 species
AUGAACGCUGGCGGCGUGCUUAACACAUGCAAGUCGAACGAGAGAAGAUCGGUGCUUGCACUGAUCCGAUCGAGUGGCGGACGGGUGAGUAACGCGUGGGUAACCUGCCUCAUACAGGGGAAUAACAGUUGGAAACGGCUGCUAAAACCGCAUAAGCGCACGGUAUCGCGUGAUACAGUGUGAAAAACUCCGGUGGUAUGAGAUGGACCCGCGUCUGAUUAGCUAGUUGGUGAGGUAACGGCCCACCAAGGCGACGAUCAGUAGCCGGCCUGAGAGGGUGAACGGCCACAUUGGGACUGAGACACGGCCCAAACUCCUACGGGAGGCAGCAGUGGGGAAUAUUGCACAAUGGGGGAAACCCUGAUGCAGCGACGCCGCGUGAGUGAUGAAGUAUUUCGGUAUGUAAAGCUCUAUCAGCAGGGAAGAUAAUGACGGUACCUGACUAAGAAGCACCGGCUAAAUACGUGCCAGCAGCCGCGGUAAUACGUAUGGUGCAAGCGUUAUCCGGAUUUACUGGGUGUAAAGGGUGCGUAGGUGGUGAGACAAGUCUGAAGUGAAAAUCCGGGGCUUAACCCCGGAACUGCUUUGGAAACUGCCUGACUAGAGUACAGGAGAGGUAAGUGGAAUUCCUAGUGUAGCGGUGAAAUGCGUAGAUAUUAGGAGGAACACCAGUGGCGAAGGCGACUUACUGGACUGCUACUGACACUGAGGCACGAAAGCGUGGGGAGCAAACAGGAUUAGAUACCCUGGUAGUCCACGCCGUAAACGAUGAGAACUAGGUGUUGGGGGAAUAACUCAGUGCCGCAGUUAACGCAAUAAGUUCUCCGCCUGGGGAGUAUGCACGCAAGUGUGAAACUCAAAGGAAUUGACGGGGGCCCGCACAAGCGGUGGAGUAUGUGGUUUAAUUCGAAGCAACGCGAAGAACCUUACCAAGUCUUGACAUCCUUCUGACCGGUACUUAAUCGUACCUUCUCUUCGGAGCAGGAGUGACAGGUGGUGCAUGGUUGUCGUCAGCUCGUGUCGUGAGAUGUUGGGUUAAGUCCCGCAACGAGCGCAACCCCUAUUUCCAGUAGCCAGCAGUCAGAUGGGCACUCUGGAGAGACUGCCGGGGAUAACCCGGAGGAAGGUGGGGAUGACGUCAAAUCAUCAUGCCCCUUAUGAUUUGGGCUACACACGUGCUACAAUGGCAGUUACAAAGAGAAGCGAAACUGUGAAGUGGAGCAAACCUCAAAAAGGCUGUCUCAGUUCGGAUUGUAGUCUGCAACUCGACUACAUGAAGCUGGAAUCGCUAGUAAUCGCAGAUCAGAAUGCUGCGGUGAAUACGUUCCCGGGUCUUGUACACACCGCCCGUCACACCAUGGGAGUCGGAAACGCCCGAAGUCAGUGACCCAACCGCAAGGAGGGAGCUGCCGAAGGCAGGUUCGAUAACUGGGGUG